UGAGGUAUCGCCAAGCGGUAAGGCACCGGUUUUUGAUACCGGCAUUCCCUGGUUCGAAUCCAGGUACCCCAGCCA
rnacentral:tRNA from 1 species